rnacentral:rRNA from 1 species
AGCGAACGCUGGCGGCAGGCUUAACACAUGCCAGUCGAACGGGCAUAGCAAUAUGUCAGUGGCAGACGGGUGAGUAACGCGUGGGAACGUACCUUUUUGUUCGGAACAACACAGGGAGACUUGUGCUAAUACCGGAUAAGCCCUUACGGGGAAAGAUUUAUCGCCGAAAGAUCGGCCCGCGUCUGAUUAGCUAGUUGGUAGGGUAAUGGCCUACCAAGGCGACGAUCAGUAGCUGGUCUGAGAGGAUGAUCAGCCACAUUGGGACUGAGACACGGCCCAAACUCCUACGGGAGGCAGCAGUGGGGAAUAUUGGACAAUGGGCGAAAGCCUGAUCCAGCCAUGCCGCGUGAGUGAUGAAGGCCCUAGGGUUGUAAAGCUCUUUUGUGCGGGAAGAUAAUGACGGUACCGCAAGAAUAAGCCCCGGCUAACUUCGUG